UGGAUGGUUUUAUAAGGAUCAUGGGGGGUUUGGCUAUUAUGGUCAAGCAACAUGUUCUAGGUACACUUUUAAACAAGUUAGCUACUUUGAGCAAUUUAGAUGUUUUCGGCUACAAAUAUUAUCAAGAACAUUGGUCCAUUUGGAGCUGAAGCUUGGACAUUUUUGCAUGAGAAGUUAUUUUCUAUAAAGAGAUGUUAAGAGGGAUUAG
rnacentral:lncRNA from 1 species